rnacentral:lncRNA from 1 species
GAACUCAAUGGAGUCCUUUUUAAGAGCUAUGUCCCCGACAUACGCUCACAGGCACCAAGCCUUACCUCCAUUGCAGACAAGCUGCUCCCCGGAGCACAAACUCAAUGGAGUCUUUUUUAAGAGCUAUGUCCCCGACAUACGCUCGUAGGCGACAAGCCUUACCUCCAUUGCAGACAAGCUGCUCCCCGGAGCACGAACUCAAUGGAGUCUUUUUUUAAGAGCUAUGUCCCCGACAUACGCUCGUAGGCGACAAGCCUUACCUCCAUUGCAGACAAGCUGCUCCCCGGAGCACGAACUCAAUGGAGUCCUUUUUAA